rnacentral:lncRNA from 1 species
AGAGAAAGCCUAGGUAGUGAGGGCCGUAACCUCGGGGGAUGGCUCAGAGUGUCCAUCCUUUCUCCAGCCUGCCCCAGAACUUAAGCUGAGCCUUCUGCACACACUGGAGAGCGGGCUUGAGUGUGUGGAAGGGACGGACUACACUCUGAGACACUCAGUAACUAGCAUCCCAACUUCUCUUCCUGGCCUUGGAUGCUGGCGGCCAAAGGGUCUCACUUAUAGCCUUGCUGCGAACACCAGGCUGGCUUGGAACUCACAGAGAUCACCAUCCUCUGCUUCCAGAUUGCCUCUGCUUCUACAGGCCUGUGCUACCAUGCCCUGCUUUGGGAAAUGCACUGCAGUACCACUGUUCAAUGGCUACGGGAUGCUAUCCCGUUCUGUGACCACAGAAUUACAUUUCUUCAAUCUGUAUUUG